ensembl:lncRNA
CUCUUCCACACUCACUUUACGGAAUUCAAAAGUGCAAUGCUUGUCUUUCAUAAUUUGAUCAGUUAUACUUGGAUGUGGAGUGUCAGUGGGUUUUGUGAUGAAUAUACCUUUACAUCAACAACAUAGGAAUCUCUACAAAACGCAUUGUCUGACCUCUUCUACACUAUAUUUGUAAGGAACAAUGUUGAAGACAAGAAGAAGGUACAGGGAGUGAACAUUUAAUGUAAUACGGACAUGAAACAGAACAUGAACAGCGUCUGGACAGGUGAAAAAUAACAACAUCAAUGCUGACACAGGGAACAAACUGAGGAGCAGACAGAAAUAGAGGGGGUAAUCAACAAAGUAAUGUUGUCCAGGUGAGUCCAAUAUUGACAGCUGUGCGUAAUCAUGGUGACAGGUGUGCGUAAUGAAGGGCAGCCUGGCGCCCUCGAGUGCCAGAGAGGGAGAGUGGGGGUAGGCGUGACAAUAUUAGGCCCAGCCUUUGGAACUUUGGUUUUCCUAGAUAUGGCUACUAUACUGUGAUCACUACAUCCGAUGUAUUUGGAUACUGCUUUAAAGCUAAUUUUUGCAGCAUUAGUAAAGAUGUGAUCAAGACCUGUUGAUGAUUUCAUUCCUGUGCUGUUUGUAACUACCCUGGUACGUUGACUGAUAUCCUGAACCAGGUUCCAGGCACUGGUUACAGGUUGAAGCUUUUUCUUGAGUGUGCAGCUUGAUGAAAGCCAGUCAAUAUUUAAAUCACCCACAAAAUAUACCUCUCUGUUUAUAUCACAUACAUUUUCAAGCAUUUCACACAUGUUAUCCAGAUACUGACUGUUAGCACUUGGGGGCCUACAGCAUCUUCCCACAAGAAUGAGCUUUAGGUGAGCCAGAUGAACCUUUAGCCAUAUUACUUCAACAGUAUUUAAUAACAUGAUAUCCUCUCUAAACGUUACAGGAAUGUGGUCCUGAAUAAAAACAGCAACACCUCCGCCAUUGGUAUUUCUGUAUUUUCUGUAGAUGUUAUAACCAGGUAUUGCUACCACUGUAUCAAAGGUAUUCAUCUAACUGAGUUUCAGAGAUUGUCAGAAUAUGAAUGUCAUCUGUUUCUAGAUAGUAAUUGAUUGUGGGCUAUUUUUUGCACUUUUCUGGGAUACUUGAUUGUUUUCAUCAUUGCUUUACUGGGAAGCAUAGCAGAAGUAGACAUGCUCAUGUUAUUUAUGUUAGUGUCGGGUGAGCUGCACACAGUGGACUUCCUACUAGGGCACACCGCCUUAGUGCUAACACUAUAACGCUGCAUCAUAGGCACAUGAUACUGUAUACAAUAGCUGUGGGAUCAGCAGAGGCAUUCAGGGCAGUAAGAGGUACAUAAGUUAGGUUACUUACAUUGUGUCUACCAAUGCCCCUGGGAUAAUGUACAUUUGUUGAAGCAUUUUGACAACUCAGUGACACAAUGGUAGGGAUUAACUGAGCUGGGCUUGGGCCAUUGAUAAGUCGUUGUCUCAACGCACCCUUAGAAUGUUGUGAAAGGAUCCAGGAUCCCAAAUUAUUUGGGUGGAUUCCAUCCUCCUUAUAAAAUGUGUUUUGUUUCCAAAAGGUAUCGAAAUUGUCAACAAAAGUUACACCAAUUAAACUGCAAUAAUCACGUAGCCGUUGUGAAGAGAAAGAAUCAUCCUGCUAAAGCGUUCAAUGCCACGAUUCAGAGAGGGUUAGGGUUAGGGUCUUUUAUUAGUUUCUAGCAGAGAAUCAAUCUCCUCUUUAAAAUCCAGUUUUAACUGUUCAGAGCUGCCCUUCAUAAUGUCAUUAAAACCCACAUGGACUACGAUAGAAUCGAUUUACAUGGGGCUGUAAUGAUCGUUGUUGGAAGGAUGGUCGGACCAAGAUGCAGCGUGGGGUAGGUUAAUCCUUUUUAUUUAUGAUAACCGGCACAAAACAAAAGAGUAACCAACGAAACGUACAGCUUUGUAGGGCUAAAAGCAACAAUACAAAAUCAAGAUCCCACACAUAUGGAAAAAAUAUGAUCCCCAAUCAGAGACAACGAUAGACAGCUGCCUCUGAUUGGGAACCAUACUAGGCCAACAUAGAAAAUAAAAAAACUAGACUACCCACCCAAGUCACACCCUGACCUAACCAAAAUAGAGAAAUAAAAGGUUCUCUAAGGUCAGGGUGUGACAGGGGCGUAGAACAUUUGGGAGCAGCUUAGUAAUGUAAUUUCCUCGAGCUCCUGGAUAGGACAAUGUUUUUGGACCAGGAACAGUGACAUUUGCUACCAUGGAGCUGCCCAAAAUCAUGGCUGGCGAGAAGGACAAGAAAAUCCGCCCUCUCCCAUGCUUCACAGGAUUCAAAGAAUUCUUUAAGGACGGGCGAUGGGCAGGAUAACUUGAGCCUGUAGCUCCCAGCGCCUGGUGCAGGCGUUCGACAGAUGGUGGGGGCGUUCGACAGAUGGUGCAGGCGUUCCACAGAUGGUGCAGGCGUUCCACAGAUGGUGCAGGCUUUCGACAGAUGGUGCAGGCGUUCCACAGAUGGUGCAGGCUUUCGACAGAUGGUGCAAGCGUUCGACAGAUGGUGCAGGCGUUCGACAGAUGGUGCUAGCGUUCGACAGAUGGUGCAGGCGUUCCACAGAUGGUGCAGGCGUUCCACAGAUGGUGCAGGCGUGCGACAGAUGGUGCAAGCGUUCGACAGAUGGACAGAAGCCUCGCUCGAUCCAGAGCACGGAUGGAAGGUUGUCGACGACGACUUGGAAAUCAUAGGGGAAGGAGUAGGCAUAGCAACCGCAGACACAGGUACCCACAUCGAUGAAGGUGCAGGAAGAUCAGGCUCCAAACACAGGUACCCACAUCGAUGAAGGUGAGGGAAGAUCAGGCUCCAGACACAGGUACCCACAUCAAUGAAGGUGAGGGAAGAUCAGGCUCCAAACACAGGUACCCACAUCAAUGAAGGUGAGGGAAGAUCAGGCUCCAGACACAGGUACCCACAUCGAUGAAGGUGCAGGAAGAUCAGACACAGGUACCCACAUCGAUGAAGGUGCAGGAAGAUCAGGCUCCAGGGCAGCGAAACUAUUCGUUGUUUGUAUCUGCUCCAGGCCUCUCGUUGGGAGUGUAACCUGCUUUGUGGGAGGCCGCUGUCUUCGGCUUCCACUGCUCAUGAAAUGCUCAUGAAAUGUGCACAUCAUGGAUUAGCAUGCUCCUCUUGCUGUGCUCCUUUGACUCCGCUAUCAGAUGGGGGAGGAGAGGCAGGAGAUGGCACCCCUGGCGAACAAACUCUGGGCAACACCGGCCAGUUGGACAUUGACAAACUGCAAGGCGGAGAUGCAUCCAAGAAGCCCGAACGCUGUCCAGCCACCGGCGUAGAAAAUGUACACAUUCCACUCUGCGUUUUACCCAGUUUCUUACGUAGACUGGCGACCUGCUUGAUCAAGGAAACCACUUAAAUCCUAUAAUCCUCGGCAAACAAACAAUUGGAACUCAGAGUGAUCCAGCUUGUCCCGAAACGAAGCACCGUAGAUACAGCUCCUACAGCGUUGGAACUCAGAGUGAUCCAGCUUGUCCCGAAACAAAGCACCGUAGAUACAGCUCCUACAGCGUUGGAACUCAGAGUGAUCCAGCUUGUCCCGAAACAAAGCACCGUAGAUACAGCUCCUACAGCGUUGGAAGCGUUCAUUUACUUCUCCAGACAAAAAGGGCUCCAUUUGAAAAACUCACCUGGGACUAACUUCGUUAGCUUGAUGGCUAGCAGCUUAACUAGCGAGGACUAGUCAAGCCAGCAUCUAUUAAGGGGGAUCCCGGGACAAGAAAUAGCGGUCCUAGCUGUUAAAAGCUAACUGGGUUGCGGAAUCCAUGCAAAAACAAGUUCACUAUUUAUAUCUUAUGAAGACUUUUUUUUUUUU